UGAGUAACCUGCCCUUCACUCUGGGAUAACUCCGGGGAAAACCGGGGCUAAUACUGGAUAUGACUCGAACAGGCAUCUGUUUCGGGUGGAAAGAUUUAUUGGUGGAGGAUGGACUCGCGGCCUAUCAGCUUGUUGGUGAGGUAAUGGCUCACCAAGGCGACGACGGGUAGCCGGCCUGAGAGGGCGACCGGCCACACUGGGACUGAGACACGGCCCAGACUCCUACGGGAGGCA
rnacentral:rRNA from 1 species